GAUUAUCUUGUUUCACAGAAGAGAAGGAAGACCAAGGAAAUGAUUUGCUCAGGAUGAGAAAUGAAGAUGGUCAUCUUGUGCUCAAGCAAACAGAAGUCCUCUGAUGAUCUCAUCAACCAAAUGAGGGGUUUUGACCAAGUGAUGCUCUUGAAAGGAGUGAAAGAAGAGGAUGUGGUAAAUUGUCUUCAGAGAAAAAGCUUCUCAAAAGAUCUUAAAACAGCUUGAAGAAUGGUCUGGGAUCUUAGGACUGGGAGAUCUCACUUGCACCCAGUUAACCUCCAUAGAGAACAUUUAUCAGAAGCGCUGUCUGGGUAGGGCAAGAAACAUCAUCAAGGAUGCCUCUCACCCUAACCAUGGACCUUUCACCCUCCUUCCAUCCGGCAGGCGUUA